rnacentral:rRNA from 1 species
GACGAACCGUGCAAACGUUAUUCGGAAUCACUGGGCAUAAAGGGCGCGUAGGCGGCUUUCUAAGUCAGGGGUGAAAUCCGGCAGCUCAGCUGUCGCAGUGCCUUUGAUACUGGAGAGCUCGAGGGAGGUAGGGGUCUGUGGAACUUCCGGUGGAGCGGUGAAAUGCGUUGAUAUCGGAGGGAACGCCGGUGGCGAAAGCGACGGACUGGAUCUCUUCUGACGCUGAGGCGCGAAAGCCAGGGGAGCAAACGGG